AUUGAACGCUGGCGGCAGGCUUAACACAUGCAAGUCGAGCGGAGAUGAGGUGCUUGCACCUUAUCUUAGCGGCGGACGGGUGAGUAAUGCUUAGGAAUCUGCCAUUUAGUGGGGGACAACAUUCCGAAAGGAAUGCUAAUACCGCAUACGUCCUACGGGAGAAAGCAGGGGAUCUUCGGACCUUGCGCUAAAUGAUGAGCCUAAGUCGGAUUAGCUAGUUGGUGGGGUAAAGGCCUACCAAGGCGACGAUCUGUGGCGGGUCUGAGAGGAUGAUCCGCCACACUGGGACUGAGACCGGGCCCAGACUCCUACGGGAGGCAGCAGUGGGAAAUAUUGGACAAUGGGCGGAAGCCUGAUCUAGCCAUGCCGCGUGUGUGAAGAAGGCCUUUUGGUUGUAAAGCACUUUAAGCGAGGAGGAGGCUACUAGUACUAAUACUACUGGAUAGUGGACGUUACUCGCAGAAUAAGCACCGGCUAACUCUGUGCCAGCCGCCGCCGUAACAC
rnacentral:rRNA from 1 species